AUUGAACGCUGGCGGCAUGCCUUACACAUGCAAGUCGAACGGCAGCACGGGUGCUUGCACCUGGUGGCGAGUGGCGAACGGGUGAGUAAUACAUCGGAACAUGUCCUGUAGUGGGGGAUAGCCCGGCGAAAGCCGGAUUAAUACCGCAUACGAUCUACGGAUGAAAGCGGGGGACCUUCGGGCCUCGCGCUAUAGGGUUGGCCGAUAGCUGAUUAGCUAGUUGGUGGGGUAAAGGCCUACCAAGGCGACGAUCAGUAGCUGGUCUGAGAGGACGACCAGCCACACUGGGACUGAGACACAGCCCAGACUCCUACGGGAGGCAGCAGUGGGGAAUUUUGGACAAUGGGUGAAAGCCUGAUCCAGCAAUGCCGCGUGUGUGAAGAAGGCCUUCGGGUUGUAAAGCACUUUUGUCCGGAAAGAAAUCCUUGGCUCUAAUACAGUCGGGGGAUGACGGUACCGGAAGAAUAAGCACCGGCUAACUACGUG
rnacentral:rRNA from 1 species